UGUGCUUUCCAAAAGGCAAGCAUACUGCUGAAAUAAAACUCCCUACCCGACAGGAGAGAGAAAUUCGGUAAACACGUAUUUGUUCCACAUUCCAGCAGAGGAAUCCAAGUUCAUUUAAAUUCUCAUUACACUGAAACCAAGCGUAUUUUGCUUAUACCUUCUUCCUUUUCAUCUUCUCCCCAGAGUCCAGCUUCCGUUUCUUAGCAUAAGCUGGUUCAUCAUCUUUUUCGUCAUCUGACACCGUGUGCUCCUCCUCCUCCUCAGGCAGGAACCUGGCUCUGCCGGCGGGCCGCGGCGCGUCGUCGCCGUUGUCCUCGUAGAUGUUGGACCACUUGAUGGCCAUGUCGACGGCGGGUGCCGGCGGAGGCUUCUUCUCGGGCGGGCUGUACACCUCCGGCGGCGGCACGGCGUUCGUCUUCCACGCCUUAAACUCCUUGGGCGGCUCCUCGGGCGCCCGCAGGACGCGGCUCUCCCAGUCGAUCUGCUUGUUGAGCGGGUUGUAGAGGAAGGCGGGCGGCUGGGACACCUUCCGGAAGAGCUCGUCCGGCGGCGGCAGCUUCGGCCGCCUCCCCGGACUGCUCCCCGCCGUCGCGCCGGCUCCCGCCUGCCGCUCCUCGGCCGAGGCCUCGUCGGCCUCCGAGUCAGAGCUGGAGCUGCCGUAGGCCGCGAAGUAGCCCAGCGGGUCCUCUCCCUCCGCCGCCAUGGCGGGGCUGCGCAAUUCGCCG
rnacentral:lncRNA from 1 species